rnacentral:rRNA from 1 species
GCUUGAAUAGAUUAGCAUGGAAUAAUAAUUGAAGGCUUUCGUGUUCGAUUUGAUUGGUUUGUUCAUGGAAGCAAGGUUAAAAGGAACAGUUGGGGGUAUUCAUAUUCACUAGUUAGAGGUGAAAUUCUCGGAUUUAUGGAAGAUGAACAAGUGCGAAAGCAUUUACCAAGGAUGUUUUCAUUAAUCAAGAACGAAAGCUAGGGGAUCGAAGAGGAUUAGAUACGUUAAAUUUUCUUUUUAAAAAAA